GGAGAAGCACAAUGAUGAACAAUACUGCUGGAGCCACCAAGAGGCACAAGUGUGAGUGCGAUUGCCUGUGUGUGUAUGUGUGUGUGUCCUCGUCUGUGCAUGCACACGCGCGUCUGGGAGGAUGGAUGUGUGUGACUGGUGAUAGGGACCUAGUCAUGUGCCAUCUUCUGGGCUGUGACAGCCAAACUGAUAAGAUCUGAUUGCUUC